CCUACGGGCGGCAGCAGUGGGGAAUAUUGCACAAUGGGCGCAAGCCUGAUGCAGCCAUGCCGCGUGUAUGAAGAAGGCCUUCGGGUUGUAAAGUACUUUCAGCGGGGAGGAAGGCGAUAAGGUUAAUAACCUUGUCGAUUGGCGUUACCCGCAGAAGAAGCACCGGCUAACUCCGUGCCAGCAGCCGCGGUAACACGGAGGGUGCAAGCGUUAAUCGGAAUUACUGGGCGUAAAGCGCACGCAGGCGGUCUGUCAAGUCGGAUGUGAAAUCCCCGGUCUCAACCUGGGAACUGUAUUCGAAACUGGCAGGCUGGAGUCUUGUAGAGGGGGGUAGAAUUCCAGGUGUAGCGGUGAAAUGCGUAGAGAUCUGGAGGAAUACCGGUGGCGAAGGCGGCCCCCUGGACAAAGACUGACGCUCAGGUGCGAAAGCGUGGGGAGCAAACAGGAUUAGAUACCCUUGUAGUC
rnacentral:rRNA from 1 species